UACCAGCUCCUCGAGUGGUCGGGACGAUUAUUGGGCCUAAAGCACCCGUAGCCUGUUCUGUAAGUCCUCUGUUAAAUCCAGUCGCUCAACGGCUGGCCCGCAGAGGAUACUGCAAGACUAGGAGGCGGGAGAGGCGGACGGUACUCCGCGUGUAGGGGUAAAAUCCUUUGAUCCGCGGAAGACCACCAGUGGCGAAGGCGGUCCGCCAGAACGCGCUCGACGGUGAGGGGUGAAAGCUGGGGGAGCGAACCGG
rnacentral:rRNA from 2 species